UGGACAGAUUAUUGUAUUCGGGUGUAUUCGACUGUAUUCACGGCGUGAAACAGGGGAUUACACAGUUUUUAAACGGAAAGUGAAUCAAUUAACAUAAUAGACUCCU
rnacentral:pre_miRNA from 1 species